ACACGGACCAAGGAGUCUAACAUGUGUGCGAGCCAUUGGGCGAACUAAACCCAAGGGCGCAGUGAAAGCGAAGGGCACUCGGUGUCUGAGGGGCGAUCCCUUUCGGGGGCGCAGCCCCGGCGCUUUGCAUCGACCUCGCAUCGUGCAGAGCAGCAAGAGCAUACACGUUGGGACCCGAAAGAUGGUGAACUAUGCCUGGCCAGGUUGAAGUCAGGGGAAACCCUGAUGGAGGACCGUAGCGAUUCUGACGUGCAAAUCGAUCGUCGGAGCUGGGUAUAGGGGCGAAAGACUAAUCGAACCAUCUAGUAGCUGGUUCCUUCCGAAGUUUCCCUCAGGAUAGCUGGCGCUCAUGUAACGAGUUUCAUCCGGUAAAGCGAAUGAUUAGAAGUCUUGGGGACGAAACGUCCUCAACUUAUUCUCAAACUUUAAAUGGGUGAGAAGCGGGGCUUGCUUAAGUGAAGCCCCGCCUUUCGAAUCGGAGUGCCAAGUGGGCCAUUUUUGGUAAGCAG
rnacentral:rRNA from 1 species